GACGUUCCCCUUCGGGGGACAGAGUGACAGGUGGUGCAUGGUUGUCGUCAGCUCGUGUCGUGAGAUGUUGGGUUAAGUCCCGCAACGAGCGCAACCCUUGUCCUUAGUUGCCAGCAUUUAGUUGGGCACUCUAAGGAGACUGCCGGUGACAAACCGGAGGAAGGUGGGGAUGACGUCAAAUCAUCAUGCCCCUUAUGACCUGGGCUACACACGUGCUACAAUGGAUGGUACAAAGGGUUGCGAGACCGCGAGGUUUAGCCAAUCCCAUAAAACCAUUCUCAGUUCGGAUUGUAGGCUGCAACUCGCCUACAUGAAGCCGGAAUCGCUAGUAAUCGUGGAUCAGCAUGCCACGGUGAAUACGUUCCCGGGCCUUGUACACACCG
rnacentral:rRNA from 1 species